rnacentral:rRNA from 1 species
UACGUAGGGGGCGAGCGUUGUCCGGAAUCAUUGGGCGUAAAGCGCGUGUAGGCGGCUUGGUAAGUCUGGUGUGAAAUCCCGGGGCUUAACCCCAGACCUGCACUGGAUACUGCCAAGCUUGAGUCCGGGAGGGGAGAGCGGAAUUCCUAGUGUAGCGGUGAAAUGCGCAGAUAUUAGGAAGAACACCGGUGGCGAAGGCGGCUCUCUGGAACGGUACUGACGCUGAGACGCGAAAGCGUGGGGAGCGAACAGG